CUCAGAAGAAAGAGGUUUACACUAAACUUUGCAUAACAUGAGCCAGUCUUCCUUCCCAGCUUAGGCUGUGCUAGGUGAAUUGAAUCUAAAAGAGAGCGAGCAGGAGCAGCAAGUGCCAGGAGCCUCUUCCACUCUUGCAGUCUUCAGGCAUGACAGCACCUGGGGCAACACCUGGGUACUUUUGGAGGCACCUGCUGCCUCAGGGAGUCUCAUACAUGGCACAGCUGCUCUGAGAGCCCCUGCCUCCCUCCUUGACAUUGUCUUCCCAGGGGAGAAAGGGAAUCUACAUUUAGUGAGUCCCAACAUCUGUCAGCCACAAUCCUAGGUGAUAUAUAAGCUUCACAACAAACCUUAGAGCAGGUAGCAUUUUUGACAUUUUACAUUUGUUGGGUUUCUGCUACAUGCCAAGCCCUCUGACAAGCAUGUCUCAUACUUCAUCUCAGCUUUCAAAGUAAUCCUGGAAGAAGACAUAAUUGUGCACUUCGCGUAGAUGAGGAAAUUAAGGUUUAGAGAGGCUGAAUAGCUGCUAGGAGUCCUUCAAGCAGGGAGUGGAAGAGCUGAAAUUAAAAAGUAGUUCUAGCUAACUCCUGGACCCAAAAUGUGAAUCAAGUUUACUAAAUUAGAAGAAUUUACAGAACCCAGAAUAGAGCCUAUGCACGCAUAUAUAUAUGUGGGAUACUGGCAGGUAAGAGAUUAGGUUUUUCUGUUAAAUCACCAAGGAAGGCUGGAGGAUUAAAUGAGAUAAUGUAUGUAACUUGCCUGGUACAUUACAGCCUGCAAAAGAUCAUCUGUUCUCUAUAUCACAAUCUAUUAUGGGAAUAUGACUUGAACAGAGUGACUGUUAAUGACAUAAUGAACAUGUACAUUAAGAGAGGUUUGGAAGAGAGUCUUUUCUUGCUAGAAAGAGUAUAGAUCUGGAGCCAGGAUGCUGGACUAGUUAAGGGCCGCUGGUUGUGGAGUCAGAUGGACUGGGAUUAAAUCUUGACUCGUCCACCAACUAUCAACUUGAUCAAAAUGAAGUCUUAGUAUGUUGUCCAGGCUGGUCUUGAACUUCUGGCCUUAAGUGAUCCUCCUGCCUUGGCCUCCCAAAGUGUGGGAUUACAGGCAUGAGCCACUGUGUCUGGCUGAAAUUGGAAUUCUAAAGAAUCAAAUUUUGCCCCAAUUUGCUGUGCUGCCUGUGCUUGGAAUAAACAUUUUGCAGCCAUACAGAAAUCAGAAGAUUUAUUGAGAAUACGGUACAUGCUCCUAGUGGGUAGAGAGGAAUCAGACAUAGCUCCCGCCGUCAAGGAGAUCUGAGUUUCAUGAUGAAGAUACAAAAAUGAAAAUGACUAUGUGUGGAAUGUGCUAAUAGUGAUAUGAGCAGGGCAAGCUCAAGGCACGAGGGAAGGUCAAAGGAAGCUUAUGAAAGAAAGAGAUUCUUCGGCAGUGUUAAGCAAACAUCCAUGACACAGAUACUGCUGAAAAGUGACCUGUAUCCAGCUGAGGAGCACUGGUUGUACAUUUGUGUUUGGUGCUGACAGAAGAGUCUACGCUACUAAGAAUAUUAAGUUAUCAUCUGGCCUCUGGAUUGAGGAGGUAGCAUUAUAUAAGUAAAUGGAGGGUCAGAGACACUGUUGGUUACCCAAGAUCGUAUUCCAGAUCACUGGUGAAGCCUGUUAGCAACUCCAAGCAUUUGAGCUAGGAUCUGCUACUUCUCAACACUAGGCUACAGACAUUCUCAGCAGUUAUCAUCUUACUGGGCUUAACAAUAAUGUACAAGGAACAUAACUGCAAAGUGGGCUACUGUGUCUCACAAGAUGAGAACAAAGGAAGUGCUGGAAGAGUUUCAAGUCUGGCUGCAGAAAGCUGGAAAGAUGACAGUCUACUUGGGAAAAUGAUACAAAAUGUCUGAAAAUUUAAGCAACUGCUCAAGACUCCUGUCUUAUGAGGGAAAGGAGGCGGGCUCCCUCACAAGACAUUAAGGCUGCCUGUGAGGGCUGUCACCAGUAGUGUUACUAAGUUAAGAUCCUAAUGUACAGUGUGGACACAUGAGUGUUUCUCUUUCUUUUACAAAUGCUGCUAAAGAACAUGCCCAUAGAGGAUAUUUGCAACACCUUAUAAACUAAACCUGACAAUAGGAAAGACCAUACAAAAAGUAUGUACCUUUUAACUUUUUUCCCUUAAGAAAGAAGUUCUAGGUAAGGUAAUCAGGUAAGAAAUUAUUCAAAUAAAAUUAGAAAAAUCAAAUAUUGCUCUGGUUAUACAUGUAAAAUAAUUGCAUUUAUUCAUUAAAAUAAUGCAUUGUAUGUAUUGAUCCAUCUAUAAUUUAUGAGGCACUGGGCAACCUAAUCAUGAAUUCACUCAGUCAUUUAUUGUGUCUGUUAUUUCAACCCACAUUAUUGAACUUCUGUUAUGUGCAAAGCUGUGGCCAGGGUGUGGAUUUCUCCAUGGAUAAGACAUAUUCUGUCCUAGAGAGGAGGCUAGAAAAACUACAGUUUAAUGAGCAGAUAUUAGAUGCUCUGUACUAUGCUAAGAAUUUUAUGCACAGUAUUUCAUAUGAAAAUUGUAAUAACUCUGUUAGGCAAGGCUUAUUGUAAUGUUCUUAGAGAUGGUGUAUUAGUCUGUUUUCACAUGGAUAAUAAAGAUAAUGAGACUGGGUAAUGUAUAAAGAAAAAGAGGUUUAAUGGACUCACAGUUCCACAUGGCUGGGGAGGCCUCACAAUCAUAGUGGAAGGUGAAGGAGGAGCAAAGUCACAUCGUACAUGGUGGCAGGCAAGAGAGUGUGUGUAGGGAAACUGCCCUUUAUAAAGCCAUCAGAUCUCAUGAGACUUAUUCAUUGCCACAAGAACAGCAUGGGAAAAACCCACCUCCAUGAUUCAAUUACCUCUCACUGGGUCCCUCCCAUGACACGUGGGGAUUAUGGGA
rnacentral:lncRNA from 1 species